rnacentral:lncRNA from 1 species
CUUGGGCUUAUAUUGAUCAAAAGCUUCCCAUGGCAUUUCACUGAUUUCCCUGCAGCCAGCCAGUUCUUAUAAAGCCCUUUUAGUCCAUUUUUCAUAUAUCAUCUCUGUCCUCUGUUCCUUCUGCACUCCAGGAAUGUAAUCCUUACUGUUAUGGUUUGCAUGUGAGGUGUCCCCCAAAAGCUCUUGUGUGAGACAGUGCAAGAAGCUCAGAUGAGAAAUGAUUGGGUCACAAGAGUCUUAAUCCAAUCAGUGGUCUAAUCCCCUGUGGGAUUAAUUGGGUGGUAACCCUAAAGUGGGAGGGUGUGGCUGGAGGAGGUGGGAAUUGAGGCGUGGAGUCUCUCUCUCUGCUUCCUCUUCACCAUGUGAGCGGCUUCCGUCCACCACACUCUUCUUCCAUGAUGUUCACCCUCAUCUUGAGCCCCAAGGAAUGGAGUCAGCCUUCUGUAGACUAAGAUCUGCAAAACUGGCAGCCCUUAAAUAAACUUUUCCUCCUCUACAGUUGUUCUGGUUGGAUCUAGACCUGGCUCCUAAGAGCCUGGGACCAGGGUAACCCUAGUUACAGCAGUGAAAAAGCUGACUAAAACACUUACCUUGUCAGCCCAUUUGCCCAUCGUUCUUUCUGUCUGUCUUGAUAGCCUGCUUGAUUGUCUGCUUUCUUGCAGUGGUCCACUUACUCU